AUCACUUCUCACCCUUUUGGCUAAGAUCAUGUGUGGGAUCUGUUCUUAUCAGUUUAACAUCUGAUACGACCUCAAUCCAAAGACAAUAGAUUAAAUGGAUUUUUGGAGCAGAGAGAUGGGAUCUGAGAUUGCUCCUUCCCUCCACAAAUUCACCUGGUAUUGCAGUAUCUUCAAGAAUGGUGCACCCCUU
ensembl:snRNA U2 U2 spliceosomal RNA